AAUAAAACUGUUUUGUUUCUCUUUCCAGGUCUACAUAACGUGACUGGUCUGAGUUUCUGACUAUACAAUUUUCCUUCUCUCUGAAGAACUUCUUUUGACAUUUCUUACAAGGACCAGAAACUGGAGGACAUGCUGUUUCUACUGACACGUCCUCAAACUCAGAGAGUUUUUUCCUUAGCCUUGAAUGCUGGGACUACCAUGAGAAGUCAUAUCUUCCUGGAUCAGGAAUGGUCAUAUAGAGAAAGAGGAAGGCCCAGCAAUCCCAGCUGAAAUCUUAGACAAGAGUUUAAGGCUAUUGCAAAUUAUUCAGUCGAGCUGUCACAGAACCGCCCCACCAACCCAAAUUGUGAGAUAUAAUAUUAUCAUUGUUUUAGGCAACUAUAUUCUGAGGUGGCUUGUUAAACUGCAAAAUUCAAUGUAUUAAUACAUAUCAACAAAAUCCCAAAUGUAUUUGGUUUGGCAGUCUGGUUACUGAAGAUAACCUUCCUGCAAUCUAUGGCUACAAAUGGUAUCCUCUUGAUCCAGCUCUGGCCAAUGACGCAUACACAUACGUUGCUAAUUGGUGUCUGGUAGUGGAGCCAUCUAAAGGGAGGCAAUUCUUUUAGUUAGAAUGAUUCUUUGGCCCUUUGCUUUUCCUCCUCCUUCUUCCCUGGAAUACAGAUAAAAUAAAGGAAGCAUAUUUCAACCAUGAGAUAAAAGUCCCACUCUAAGAAUGGUGGGACAGGAAAAUAGAAAGCAAUUGAGCCCUGAUGGCAGUUUAGCUGCCCUACCAGGUCAGGACUACACAAUCUCCAGACUUUUUGUUGUAUGAGAAAAAAAAUCUUUAAUCCACUGGAAUAAAUGAAUGCAAAUACUAACUCAACGUAUUAAAGAAGGUGGAGUCACUGACGGUUCCUAUUUUGCUG
rnacentral:lncRNA from 1 species